rnacentral:rRNA from 1 species
GCAUAUCAAUAAGCGGAGGAAAAGAAACCAACAGGGAUUGCCCUAGUAACGGCGAGUGAAGCGGCAACAGCUCAAAUUUGAAAUCUGGCGCAAGCCCGAGUUGUAAAUUUGUAGAGGAUGCUUCUGGGUAGCGGCCGGUCUAAGUUCCUUGGAACAGGACGUCAUAGAGGGUGAGAAUCCCGUAUGUGACUGGCUUGCACCCUCCACGUAGCUCCUUCGACGAGUCGAGUUGUUUGGGAAUGCAGCUCUAAAUGGGAGGUAAAUUUCUUCUAAAGCUAAAUACCGGCCAGAGACCGAUAGCGCACAAGUAGAGUGAUCGAAAGAUGAAAAGCACUUUGGAAAGAGAGUUAAAAAGCACGUGAAAUUGUUGAAAGGGAAGCGCCCGCAACCAGACUUUGCGGCAGUGUUCGGCCGGUCUUCUGACCGGUUUACUCGCUGUCGUGAGGCCAUCAUCGUCUGGGACCGCUGGAUAAGACCUUAGGAAUGUGGCUCCCCUCGGGGAGUGUUAUAGCCUCUGGUGAUGCAGCGCGUCUCGGGCGAGGUCCGCGCUUCGGCAAGGAUGAUGGCGUAAUGGUUGUCGGCGGCCCGUCUUGAAACACGGACCAAGGAGUCUAACAUCUAUGCGAGUGUUCGGGUGUCAAACCCCUACGCGUAAUGAAAGUGAACGGAGGUGGGAACUUUUUGUGCACCAUCGACCGAUCCUGAUGUCCUCGGAUGGAUUUGAGUAAGAGCAUAGCUGUUGGGACCCGAAAGAUGGUGAACUAUGCCUGAAUAGGGUGAAGCCAGAGGAAACUCUGGUGGAGGCUCGCAGCGGUUCUGACGUGCAAAUCGAUCGUCAAAUUUGGGUAUAGGGGCGAAAGACUAAUCGAACCAUCUAGUAGCUGGUUCCUGCCG